rnacentral:rRNA from 1 species
UCCCAAAGUCAUGGUUAAGUGGGAAACGAUGUGGGAAGGCCCAGACAGCCAGGAUGUUGGCUUAGAAGCAGCCAUCAUUUAAAGAAAGCGUAAUAGCUCACUGGUCGAGUCGGCCUGCGCGGAAGAUGUAACGGGGCUAAACCAUGCACCGAAGCUGCGGCAGCGACACUGUGUGUUGUUGGGUAGGGGAGCGUUCUGUAAGCCUGUGAAGGUGUGUCGUGAGGCAUGCUGGAGGUAUCAGAAGUGCGAAUGCUGACAUAAGUAACGAUAAAGCGGGUGAAAAGCCCGCUCGCCGGAAGACCAAGGGUUCCUGUCCAACGUUAAUCGGGGCAGGGUGAGUCGACCCCUAAGGCGAGGCCGAAAGGCGUAGUCGAUGGGAAACGGGUUAAUAUUCCCGUACUUGGUGUUACUGCGAAGGGGGGACGGAGAAGGCUAUGUUGGCCGGGCGACGGUUGUCCCGGUUUAAGCGUGUAGGUGUGUGUUCCAGGUAAAUCCGGUUCACUUUAACACUGAGGCGUGACGACGAGGCACUACGGUGCUGAAGCAACAAAUGCCCUGCUUCCAGGAAAAGCCUCUAAGCAUCAGGUAACAUCAAAUCGUACCCCAAACCGACACAGGUGGUCAGGUAGAGAAUACCAAGGCGCUUGAGAGAACUCGGGUGAAGGAACUAGGCAAAAUGGUGCCGUAACUUCGGGAGAAGGCACGCUGACACGUAGGUGAAGUGAUUUACUCAUGGAGCUGAAGUCAGUCGAAGAUACCAGCUGGCUGCAACUGUUUAUUAAAAACACAGCACUGUGCAAACACGAAAGUGGACGUAUACGGUGUGACGCCUGCCCGGUGCCGGAAGGUUAAUUGAUGGGGUCAGCGCAAGCGAAGCUCCUGAUCGAAGCCCCGGUAAACGGCGGCCGUAACUAUAACGGUCCUAAGGUAGCGAAAUUCCUUGUCGGGUAAGUUCCGACCUGCACGAAUGGCGUAAUGAUGGCCAGGCUGUCUCCACCCGAGACUCAGUGAAAUUGAACUCGCUGUGAAGAUGCAGUGUACCCGCGGCAAGACGGAAAGACCCCGUGAACCUUUACUAUAGCUUGACACUGAACAUUGAGCCUUGAUGUGUAGGAUAGGUGGGAGGCUUUGAAGUGUGGACGCCAGUCUGCAUGGAGCCGACCUUGAAAUACCACCCUUUAAUGUUUGAUGUUCUAACGUGGACCCGUUACCCGGGUUGCGGACAGUGUCUGGUGGGUAGUUUGACUGGGGCGGUCUCCUCCUAAAGAGUAACGGAGGAGCACGAAGGUUGGCUAAUCCUGGUCGGACAUCAGG